GUGAGUUUAACUGAUGACAUUUACAAGUUAAUGGAUUUAUGACUUCAUCUCUAAGGUAAUCCUGCGAGCUGCAGCAGCAAGAACCACUGCUGAAAUUCUUCCAGGCCUGCUGUUGUUUCUAAAAACAAGUCACUGCUUGCACUCUAGGAAUAUCCCUUUAGGAUAUUAUGGGUGUUUAUUUCAAGGUACUUCCAUGACAUCCCUGCCUGAUAAUAUUAUUUUAAUUUUCUACCAGAAGCUCCUUAGAUAAAAAAGAUCCCUUUGUAUAACUAAAAGAAUGCGUAUGUAUUUUCAUAUAUAUGAAAAGCGUCUCUCUGAAGUGUCAGUUGUUCUAAGUAUUAGCAUUUGAGUUGAAAUCUGGUCAGCCAAAUCAUCAAGAAUUGCUAAUUGGAACCAAGAAAGAUUUUUUGAAUUUUAAGAAAACUGUGUGAAAAUCAUAUAUGGUCAGAGGUGGGUUCUACUUACCUUUACUACCGGUUCGCAAUGGGGCCACGUGCACUUGCUUCGCUCGCGCAGAAGCAUUUUGAUGACAUCAGGAUUGGUGGGCAGAGCCUCCUGCCCGUUUUACUAUCAGUUCUAUAGAACCGGUGUGAACUGGGGGCAACCCACCACUGUAUAUGGUCCCUUCCUUUAUAUAAUCAGUGUCUUUGGAGAAGUUCUAGGAUAGACUAUUGGUUUGAGCACCUUACCACUGUUCUACUUCCCACUUCUUCUAAGUUCUACAUUAGGGCUAUGUAAUUUGUCACCAUGUUUUUGUCAAUGGCUACAUAAGUGGCUUUUGUAAGUGACUACAUACAUUAAGAUAACUUAUGGAACAUGUAUUUUAAAUGAUUAAUUUUCUACUUUGAAUGACAAACUAUUACUUUAUCUGAUAAUUUCUGUGCAGUUUCAAGUGCUGAACCAUAAUUUCUGUGGGGCCUUCAAUAUGUGAGUCUAGGGCACUGACUCCAAUACUUCAGAAGGAACCAUUUACAAUAUGAAUAUGAAGAUUUUUGUCUCAUUUUGAUGAUCUGAAUAUAGAAACUCACUGGGAGGAUGCCACAUAUAAAUUAAUCUGGAAAUUAUCCACAAUAAUUUUUCAACAAUUCUUGGCAAAACUUAUGUUGGUACAACAAUGUCUGGGGUCCUUAUUUAAUGUACGAUAAAACAUAGUUUUAUAUCAUUGGUUAUAAUGGAUUAAAAGUUAAAUAAAAAGACAAAUAGAAGAAUGAAUGAAUGAAUUAACAACAUUCUCAAGGGUUUAUAUUUUGAGACAAAUUUAUGUUUAAACCUGCUGGAAUGAUUCAAUUCCUGUAAUGUUUUCAUAGCAUUUUAACUAUUUAUUUGUCAAGAAUAACAACAUGACAAACUGCCUUCUGUAGAAACAGGCCGUACACAGCUUAAUGCUUUUCAACCUCAGCAACUUUAAGAUGAAUGGGCUUUACCACUCUGGCUGGGGAAUUCUGGGAGUUGAAAUCCACACUCUUAAAAUUGCCAAGACAAAUUUUCAUGGGAAGCAAGGCUCUAACACUGAGUUGCAAUUUCUUAUUUCAUCUUGGAAACACUGGUGAUUUUUCUGUUGAUAGCUACAAUGUAUUUAUAAUGAGUGCUUAUUAAAAAGGAGUGGGGCUUUGAUCAAUUGCAUCCUCCACUACGAAGGCAAUAGUACUUUCCGUGAACUGUUUGGGGAUAUGAGGCAUGAAGGUGUGAAGAGUUCUUUUUCUUGCCGGAUGUUCAGGAAGCUCAGGGUAAGAUUAAGAAUUGUAUCAAUGCUCUUUGUAGUCAAAAGGCAUAAUAAUAAACAGUAAUGGGCAUUCCUGAAUACUUCCUGGAUUAUGAUUCCAAAAAAAGGUUGGAGAAACCUACAGAAACCUACAGAAACAUAGCCAAAGGAAGGCUAUUGCUGAGCACAUUGUAAGCCGCCCUGAGUCUCCGGAGAAGGGCGGCAUAUAAAUCAAAUUUAAAAAAAAAAAAAUGCAAAUAAAUUUGGCAGGUGAAUGUCAUGCUUGUCUUCCUUGUUGAUUCAAAUCCUUUAGUUUGUUUCCUCACUCCUCCCAUUUUUUCCUUGUCUCAAUUUUAAACAAUUUCUAGAUAUGCAACUUCCUUUCUUUUUAAUUAUAGGCAUGCUAACUAAAGUAUAGAUGAAGGAAGUGCCCAGGGACAUUCGUUAACUUAUCCACCAACUACAUUCAUAAUUUCUCCCUUCUUUUUAGUCCUACCAUCCUAUCCAAGUUAAUUCUUAAUAGCUCAGUAAGGUAAGCACUUGUAAGUAAUACUGACAGCACUUUCCCUCCCUUCCAAUAUAGUCUUUACUGACUUACCUUUCUUGCUUGAAAUAUUGGAUCUCAUUUUCACUAAAAUUGUAUGCCCGGAGUCAUCCCACUUUAAAACCACAGGUAUGGUUCAUGUUAUCAAAUGUUAUUCUGAGUUAUAGAGAAGAGUUAUAACCUGGUAUUUACAGGUAUCCACGUAGAAGGAAGUGUUGGCAUAGAACUGCAUACAAUUUUACAGGGCCUCCACCUUGAAGUUUGAAAUGGUUUGUUUGAAAUAGAGAUGUUACCACUUCAAUAAAAAGCAGGAAACCCUAACAACAACAAAAUAGUAUAAGGAGAAAUGUGUUUAAUGACCAAAGUAUGGGAGUUGUUUUAGUUUCACAUGAAUGAACAGCUACUAUUUAAUCUAUUACAAUCUUUAUAUUACUUUUGUUUUAUACUAAACCAUCUAUCAAGGGAUUAUAAGGGAACCACCUCUGUUUCUAUUCCCCAAUGUUUGCAAAUCCAUUCAUAGCUGACUAUUGAUAAUCAGUAUCCAGUAAUAAUCAGGUUUUGGCAGAAGGGCAAAACAACAACAACAACAAAAACACCACAUUUCUUUGGGGAUAUGUGUAUUGUCACAAUGCAUGUAGAAAAAGUAGAAAAAGGAUGGGCCUUUGAUUGCAAUGCUGGGGUGGCUGUUUUUAUCACUCUGAAUGUCCCUGGUUUCCUUGUGGAUCCUGAUUCCAUCUUCAUUUCAGCUACCUUGAAAUGCUAAAAAUCUCUGUGAGUGAAUUUUGGAAUCCACCACAUCAAUAGGAUAAUAUAUUUUGAUUUUAAAAAUCCUAUAUCAGAGAAAACAAAUUGUUAGUGCACGCCCCCACCACCCCACAAUUUCCUUAUUGGAGAUAAGCCCUAGUGGCACAGUGGAAGAAGGAAGGAAGGAAGGAAGGAAGGAAGGAAGGAAGGAAGGAAGGAAGGAAGGAACCCUGGUGGUGCAGUGGUUAAAAUGCAGUAUUACAGGCAAACUCUGCUCACUGCCUGAAGUUUGAUCCUGAUGGGCUCAGGGUUGACUCAGCCUUCCAUCCUUCCCAGGUUGGUAAAAUGAGGACCCAGAUUAUUGGGGGGUAAUAUGAUGACCCUGUAAACUGCUCAGAGAGUGUUUUAAAGCUCUAUGGAGCAGUAUAUAAAUCUAAGUGCUAUUGCUAUUACUUAUAAAGGAACGUUAUCUGAGAAUAUUAGAGGAAUUCACCAGUCCAGGAUCAUGCUAAACAUGUCUCAUGACAUCAAAUCAAAGCAAAUGAAGGGAUAGAAAUCCAGAACAGGUCAUUUUAAGCAGGCUUUGUUUCUAGUUGAUUGAAAGCCACUGAAGGUUGCAGUGUGGAAAAGGAGCCAUUUCAAUUAACUGAAUCCUUUAGUAAUUAAGGAGCAAAAAAAACAUAUUCUUAGAUAUUUUUUGUAUCUAUUCUUGAUUAAGAAGCAUCUUGCAAGAUCAGAGUAAGAUAGAUCCAGUAAUAAUUAACAGGGUCAAGGUGGACUUUUACCUACGUUCAGCCCAACUCUGGUUUUAAAGAACAUUAUACAAGAGGAAACAUCUUAUAACAAGAGGAAACAUCUUAUAAUACCUUAAUAUUUUAAUAGAAUAUUAACAGGAGAGUCAAGCAAUACGCUUUUGAUUCACUGAGAAUUUGUUAUAAACAAGUGUUUUGUUGUUAGAUAUCUGAAACCAAAAUCCAUUUUUUACCUUAAAAAAGCUGAUAAUAUAAGUUCCUACUAAAAGGGGCAAUCACUAGUAAACAGUGCCCUCUGGUGUUUUUCCUUUGGAGAAUUGGCCCAUGUUUUUCAUUGGGAGGAACUUAAUUUGUCGCAUUUUGUUCCAUAUUGAUGCUUUUGCAUCUUGCAUAGCAACAAUUUUAAAUUUAGUUUAAAUUCAUUAUUUGGUUUGCAGGGUUGAGUAAAACUCCAAUUAUGCAUGCAAUGAUUCCUAGUGAAUAAUGGCAAGUCUUAUAUGUGGAAGUGUCAUCUUUUGAUAUGUUUUUGGAACUAUAAAGUACAAACUACAUAAAUUACAAAUAUUUCAUGUAUCUUUUCCUCUUUUAUCUGACAGUUUUGACUUAUCAGUGGGAAUUUAAAUACGUUUAAUUAUUGGGAUAAUGUUUAUUGAGAAUUAAAAAUAAAACAUAUACCUCUUUUAA